rnacentral:rRNA from 1 species
GUGGCUUUCGGAGCUAACGCGUUAAGUAGACCGCCUGGGGAGUACGGUCGCAAGAUUAAAACUCAAAUGAAUUGACGGGGGCCCGCACAAGCGGUGGAGCAUGUGGUUUAAUUCGAUGCAACGCGAAGAACCUUACCUACUCUUGACAUCCAGAGAACUUUCCAGAGAUGGAUUGGUGCCUUCGGGAACUCUGAGACAGGUGCUGCAUGGCUGUCGUCAGCUCGUGUCGUGAG